ensembl:misc_RNA Y_RNA Y RNA
GGCUGGUCUGAAGGUCAGGAGUUACCUCAACUGAUUGUUCACAGUCAGUUACAGAUCAAACUCCUUGUUCUACCCUUUCCCCACUUCUCACUACUGCACUUUACUAGUCUUUA